CAGCUGAAAUGUCAACUUCUCAAAGAAUUCUCUUCUGACCACUUCCUUCAGUUACUGUCUGUGAUAAACUAAAGAUUAACUUAAAUUAUUUGCCAUUCUUCCCAUCAAGAGGUGGGUCUAACCCCUUCCCUUGAAUCUUGGUAGACUUCCAACCACUUAGCCAGUUGAAACUGCUUAUUCAAUGCCUUUCUAGGUUACUGCCUCUGGCUAUCAGAGACUGGUGGAUUCCCCACCUUAGCUCUUGGAACACGUGCUCCUAGACCCAGCUGCCAUGCAAUGAGGAAGCCAAAGCAAUGCUGUGAAGAGGCUCACAUGGAGAGGAACUGCCAACAGUCAGUAACAAACUGCAAUCCAUGCAAGUAAAGGCACAGAAUGGUCACAUUCUCCUGAACCACUGGUCCUCAAUUAUCAUCAUCUGUGGUUUGUUAUCUGGGAAACCAUACUGGAGACAUGAGAACAGUUGAUGCCAAGAGUAGACCAAGGAAACAUUUUGAAGCUGGAUCACCUACCU